GGUCACGGGCAGUGGGCUUCUCCUUGGCAACUCCUCCUGGCCCGGGCCAUGCAGGAGCCAUAGCUGGUGGGUUUAAGGCGAUGUCUCCUCAGCAGUCCUGCGGGUGAUGUGGCCGAGUCACUGCCACCCCAAGACUGUCCUGGGGCCGGAGCAGGACACAGCCAGAAUGAGCACUCUGGGCGUUGUAAACUCCUGAGAGCACGCACCCACGGCCGACAGCGAGGAAGCUGUAGGAAGCACCGUCCGCAUUCCACUCCGGUGCCUCACGCCGUUGGCUCGCGUGAGCAAAUGGAGAAACUGAGUCACGGGGGCGCGAAGGGGUUCUACAGAGGCUGCGGUUGAGUCAAGUCAGGCAGUCAAGGUUUGCAGACCUCACGUGAGGUCCACGUCCGGGCCGGGUGUGGAACCUCCUGAGCUCAGGCAGGUUUGAGGAAGAUCCAGCCAGAGCGAUUGGGACAGCAGUCACUUUGGCUUCCCCGGGCAUCUGUGGUGAAAGGCCUUAACGUGAACGCCAGACCAGCUUUGCCCUAAGGCCAUGGGUUUAGCUUUUCCCAGACUUGAGAAUUUGUGGUAAUGGUUAAUCCUUAGGCGCUGAGGUGUGAUGCACUGCCAGCAGCUACAGGCCUUUUCCUUUGGCUACUCACCACCCAGUGGAGAGUCCCACAGGCCAUCUGGGAUCAACUCCUUAAGCAGUAGAAAGGGGCUGCCAGAUGGGGGUGUUUUUGAUUAAAAAAGAGAAACAGAAGCCGCAGAAGGCCUUCCCCGGGUGGAACUGACUCCCAGAGAUUGUUGUUGAGGUUAGGGUGAGCCCUCUGGCAGGGGAAGUGGACAAUAUUAGUUCAGUUCCUAAUUAUUGAAAUUAAACAUUAUCUGCACACUAAGUGAUUGUAUUCAUUCCAAAGGUGAGUGUGUAGCAGGAAGCUAUACCUUUAAAAAUAAAUUAUUGGGGGGCUGGAGUUGUGGCUCAGUGGUAGAACACUUGCCUGGCAUGUGUGAGGCACUGGGUUUGAUUCUCAGCACCACAUAUAAAUAAAUAAAGUUCUAUUAAGAACUAAAAAAUUAAAAAUAAGUUAUUAGGCCGGGUAUCUUGGCACAGGUCUGUAAUCCCAGCAACUGGGGACAAUGAGGCAGGAGGAUUGCAAGUUCCAGGCCAGCAUCAGCAACUUAGUGAAGCCCUGAGCAACAUAGCAAAACCCUGUCUCAAAUUUAAAAAAAAAAAAAAAGUGAAAGAAAAAAGAAGGGGGACUGGGGAGAUGGCUCAUUGGUUACUUAACCCCUGAGUUCGAUUCCUGGUACCAAAAAAAAAAAAAGUUAUUGAUCUGAUGAAGGCUGAGGUGUAGCUCAGUAGUAAAGCACUUGCCAAGUAUGCAGGAGGCCCUGGGUUCAAUCCCCAGCACCAGGAAAACAAACAAAAAUACUCACAAGAUUUUCAGUAGUAUUUGUGUAAAAAUCUGAAGAUAAGGCUGGGGGUAUGUAUAGCUCAGGGAUAUAGUACUUACAUAGCAAACUCAAGGUCAUGGGUUCCAAAAAAAAAGAAAGAAAAAAUACUGAAGAUGGUACCUAAAUUGUAAGCUGACAUCAAAGGAGGCCUGGGUUUCCUUGUUUGGUUGCUUGGUUGGUUGCUUUUUUUUUUUUUUUUUUUUGGUACUAGGGAUGGAUUUAACUCAGAGGAGCUUAACCAAUGAGCCACAUCCCAGCCCUCAAAGGAGGAUUUUGUGUAGUAAAUUCUAAUUUAUGAAAAAGUCUGGGUUCUUUACAAUGAACAUGAGGAAAAUAAUUCAAACAAAAUGGUCUUUUCUGGUCACUCCUUUCUCUUUCUCUUUGCCUGUUCCCCAGGUUCACUCUAUCCUUUUUUCUCCCUAUCUGUUCCUGUUAGUCCACCUGAGCACCUCCUUUGCUUAGAAAAAAAUAUCCUCUUCUCUUCUCACCACCUUUGUAAGUGAAUGGAAAAUGGGAAGCUGAUAACAGCACAUUGCUGGAAGUAUCUGAACAGGCCCAAACAACCCUCUGAGAAAGCAGCUUAGUGAUACAAUCAAGAACCAUAAAAUGUCCCUGCCCUCUGACCCAAUACUUCCACUCCAGGAAAUUAUUCAAAAUAUGGGAAAAGCCACAUGUCUGAAGAUUUUCAAUGCAUUGUUAUUUAUUAUAGCAAAAACAAAAGAAAAACUACUUAAAUAUCCAAAAAUAGCCAAAUGUUUAAGUAAAUUAUGGUCAAUUCACGUGAUGGAGAAGAACACACACACACACACACAAGUGCCAGAGCAUGUACAGGCACAGGGACAACGUAAACAUCCAGUGAUAGAUGUUUACAUAAACUUGAGAUUAGUUCAUUAAAUUGGUGAAGCCACUAGAAAUAAUUGUAUAUGUCUAUACUGAUUGACAUGGAAAUAUUUGUCUGUGAUGUAUAAUUAAGUGAAAAGACAGGGUAUAAAAUAACCUGCUAAAACUUCUUAAACUUAAAAGUGUGGGGAUAGGCGUGGGUAUGGAGUAACAUCCUUAUAAUCUCCAUGACUCCAGAGGUUAAGGCAGGAGGAUCGAAAGUCUGAGGACAGCCUGGACUGGGCAAUUUAACUAGACUGUCUCAAAAUACAAAAAAGGCUAGGCAUGUAGGUCAGUAAAGUGCCCCUGGGUUCAUCCCUAGUACCACCACCAAAAAAAAAGGCUGGGGCUGGGGAUAUGAGGAGAGCACUUGCCUAGAAUGUUUGGGGCCCUGGGUUCAAUCCCCAGUUCUGGGAGCAGGGGAGGCUAAAUGUGCUUAUUUGCUUAGAACAAUUCUGGAAGAACACUUGUGCUCAAAGUGAUUGAGUUAAAAGAUUUGCGUAUUCUUUUGUAUACUGAUUCUGAAUGAAACUUUAUAAAAAGAACAUGAACAUUUAAAAAGAAGGCUAUUUCUAGUUCAUUGAUCAAAAUUCAUUAUGAAAACAAUGUAGUAAAAAUGCCAGUGAUGCAUAGUUUAAAAAUGCAAAAUAUGAACUAUCACAUUUACUAUGAUUAACAUUUAAAAACAAGAUGUAUGAGGAAGGGGCUGGGGAUGUAGCUCAAGCGGUAGCGCGCUCGCCUGGCAUGCGUGCAGCCCGGGUUCGAUCCUCAGCACCACAUACAAAACAAAGAUGUUGUGUCCGCCGAAAACAAAAAUAAAUAAAUAUUUUUAAAAAAAGAUGUAUGAGGAAUAAAGGUUGGGACAUCAAAUACUAGUGUUAGGGCUGAGGAUGUGGCUCAAGCGGUAGAGCGCUCGCCUGGCAUGCGUGCGACCUGGGUUCGAUCCUCAGCACCACAUACAAAGAUGUUAUUUCUGCAGAAAACUAAAAAAUAAAUAAAUAUUUAAAAAAAAAAUACUAGUGUUAGACUAUUGGUAUUAUGGGUGAAUCUUUUCUCUAUUUCCAAGUUUUGUGAAAUUUAAUUUGAUUAUUAUUAAAUAAUUUGAUUAUUAUUAAACCUUGUGGGGGGUACUGAAACUGAUCUCAGGGGUGCUUUACCACUAAGCUAUAUCCUCAACCCUUUUUAUUUUUAUUUUUUAUUUUGACACAGAUUUUCGCUAAGUUGCCCAGGCUGGCCUCAAACUUGCAAUCCUCCUUCCUUAGCCUUCCAAGUCCCUGGGAUUACAGGUGUGUGCCACCACACCCAGCAAAAUACAAUUUUUAAAUAAUGAAAAGUUACCUUAAAAGAGCAAAUAGAUGCUUUUCUGAUGGGUUAAGGAGUAGUGGCCUAUCAGCUUAUCUGAAUCAUCUGAGUAACAUUUUAAAGAUAUUCAUUUUUUUCCCCUCAAUACUGGUGAUUAAACCUAGGGGUGCCCUAUCACUGAAUUACACAUGGUGUUCAUUCUUGGCCUUCUCCCACCCCAAGUAAAGCCCAGAAUCUUCAUGACUUCUUAUUCCUGUCCUCAGUAACCUGAACUUGCUCCAGGCAGAGUUAGGCACUUUCCCCUGUAGGCUCCCACAACCCCUUAGGACACAUUUGUUUAUUUAUCUGAUCCUUCCACUUCAUAACAAACAUGAUGCUUACCAUAUGGUGGGGCAGUUUGCUAGACACUUUUACAUCCAUUCUAAUUAUAAACUUCUCUCCUCCUUUGUGAAGUAAACCAUCAGUUCACAGAUAAGCCAAUAGGAAAGUUAAGUAACCUACUAACUUCGACAGUGUAAGUAGUAGAACCUGGGUCUAAAGGCAGAUGGUCCAGCUCUGAGUCUCCUCACUGAUAAUCACUGGACAUCCUGCCUUCCAUGAACCUGAGAGCUCUUAGAGAAGGACCAGGGGAGCCAACACAGUAUUGACAUGUAGAAGGUUCUCUACAAACAUAGUUAGAAUAAAGGCCAUGGCAAUGUCUCAUGUACUGCAUGUCACAGUUUCAGCCUUGACCUUCUCAAACUAGGAUCUCUACAAAAGCUAGCCAAGGGGAUCUUCAGCACCUUCCUGUGAACAUGGCUUGCCUAUUCCCGUUCCUUCCUUCUCCUUUCCAACAACAUCUGUCUUCUUCCCUCCCCUGUGGGACACACCCAAGCAACAAACCACCCACUUAGCUGGUUCCUCUCAAUUAAAAAAAAAAAAAUCCAACCUAUUUUUUCUUCUAAAAUCCCUUCAGGAGAAGGCUGCUGAUAUCAUGCCCAUACAGAUGCCAUCAUCUCAGGAGAGGUGAUGGGCCCAGGCAUCACCUUCAGCUUGUAGAGUUACACAUGAUUGGCACAUGAUGCACACGUGAUGGCUUCCUCUUUUAGACCUUUUCCCAAAUUGUUCUUUCCUUAUUAUUCCCCUGCAGGUGGUCACUUCUCAUUUCCUUAUGAUAUGUUCCUUCUCGCUUCUCAUUCCUGACACUGUGAUCAACUUUUGCUGUUAGCAAGUAUGAUUAUCUGAAAUCAGGUAAGGGUGUGUUUGGGGGAGUUAUGGAAUUAGGUGAAUUUAAUUUACAUGAAAUUGUUUUAUAAAGCUGCUGAUUCCAGAAGGAUGCAAAUCCUGCCCAGACGCAGGCUCUAAACUCAGCUUGCUCAGAUUUGAGUCCCACUCCACAAUGUACUAACCAUGUGGUCAUUGGUCCUCAGUUUUAUCAACUGUGAAAUUAGUAAUAAUAAUAGUAGUAGUAGUAGUAGUAGUAGUAUGCACCUUGUAGGGUCUGAAAAAGAUUGAAAUAAAUAACUUGUUAGCCAAAGCUGGGUACAUGGGCAUGCUCAGUAAAUGUUAGCGCACGUGCAUGUGUGUGUUUCAGGAUUGGGGUUGCUAAAAUAAGUUAACAAAAUAAAUGAAGGCUCACACCUCCCACAGAGUUCUGAGAAAUAAGUGUGUCCUCAGGUUCCUGGUCCAUGUGCAAGGAGUACAUAGCUCCACCAACAUUCUGUCAAGAGGAGGGGAAAGUGGAGCAGUGGAGUCCCUCCACUCAGUGAGUAGGGGAGGGAAGACUUUUCUUCUACCUUUUGAGGGUUCAUUAAUUGAGUCUGAAAUAGACAGCAGGCAGAUUAAUAGGAGAAAAGGCAUAUAAAUUUAUUAUAUGCCCAGAGCCAUCUUAUGAAGGAAAAUUGAAUAACCAAAAACCCAGGAUAGGGGGGAGGAGGGAAGUAAGCAAUUAGGGAAGGGUAAAUGAUUUUUCAGAAAGAUGAAUGGACCAUCAGAAGAAUAGGUGACAGCCUGUGAUAAACUGUGACUGAACUGGGGUUGUGGUUCAGUAGUAGAGCACUUGUCUAGCAUGGAUGAGGUGCUGGGUUCCAUUCCCAGCACUGCAAAGAAAAAAAGAAAUGAAAAUCUUCCUGGGUAUGGAAUUGGCCUCCAGCAUCCUCUCCUGUGAUACAAACUUAAUCCUUCCUGGUUGAUGAAGUUCCAGGGAGGGCUCAUGACAAUUGAGCUCCUUCUGGAGGACCUGUUUUUAGGCGGAUAAGGGAAGUCAAUGAAAGUCCCUGCCUGCAUUUACUAUUCCCCAAGUGUCCUCAAGUUUGGAGCAGCAUGCUGAGUUUGGAGCAGUCCACCUCACAAGAGAAUCAGAGGUGGGUAGUUCUGCUGCUUAUGCAGCUACCUCCAGGGCCAGGAAAGGUGCUUGGCCCUCUGCCCACAAAAGCAGGGACUAUAAGGAUUUACUCAUAUCCUACAGAAGUGCAUGGGAUGGUGGGAAAACCUGGCUCCCUUCCCAUCGUCCAGCUCCCAAGCAAGGAGAGACCCAGUUGACAGGGCACCUCUGGGAACCAGUGUUUUACUUAUUCAGAACUCAGUCCUACUCUACCUAGAAGGGGAGGGUUCAGGGCUCUAAGAGAGGGCUGGGGUAGAGAGUUGCACCCCUAAUUCCAAGGAGAGAUGAAGAUAUAAUUUAUGUGGGCAGGAAGCAACAACUGAAGAGCUAGGGAGAAGCUGCUGUGGGGAGCAUUUCAGUGGAGUUGAAUAAGAAUUUUGGGGUACAAAAAAGAUAGUCUGAGACUCAAAAAUGACAGGGCAGGUGAGCUGUUAGAAUGCAGGAAAAGCCCUGAGCCUUUGAAUUGCAAAAAUUUUCCUGUGCAAACUGGCCCGUGGCUCUUGCCCUUGGCCCAAGCCCUUGGUCCACACCCUUGACUCAUGUCCUUGCAUGCAAAAUAAUACAAGGACACUGCACAAGUGCUAGAAAAACCGUUGUGAAGUUAUGUAAUUCUGCCUUGACUCCACCUCUGUUUCAGCCUUAGUUACUGUCCCUCUAUAAAUAAUACCACAGACCAAGGUCCUAUCUCUUCCUCUGGAGGUGGCUCAUAUUAUUCCUUGAAUGUGUCUUCCUCAUGUAACCCCCAAAACUUCUCACCCUCAAGAUAGUCCCAGUUAUCCCUUGAAUGUUUAUUUCUUUACCCCCAAAGAUAUUAGAUAGUCUGCAUUCUCCCUUGAAAGUACAUCUGCUUUCCUAAAUAAAUCUGUCUGGAGCAUGCUGAAGUUCUCUUUGUGUCACAUAUCCCUACAUAUCCUAAGUUAAGGUCUCUCUCUCAGUGAACCCCUGAGAUGAUAGAGUGACUGGGCUGCAUAGAAAGUGUCCAUGGGCUCAAAGCUGAAUGUCAGACCCUGUAGAAAUACUGCAGUGUGACAGGCUAUGGCUUUAGAAGAGAACCCUAGAAAACCAGGCUCUGUGGGGAAGUAUGACUGUUGAAUGUUCAAUUUGUUCAACAUUUUCUGAGAGGGUGCAGACUCUGAGGCCCAUGGACAGCCAAGAAAGCCCCUUAAAUGAGAAUAGCUGGGAUAUCAUUGCCUCAGAGCCCACUGUUAAUGGGAAGAGAAAGAUCCCAGAAGCUUUAAGUUUUUUUUUUUUUUUUUAGCAGAAAAAUAAAGAGGAGCAUUGAGAGAAGAGAACCAUCUGUGGAUGUAUGAAACUGACCUGGGCCUAAGAAGAUAUGUGUGGCCCAAAUAUCUGUCUCUGAGGAAAAUGGACAGCAAUCUUCAGAUAAGUAAACUUCCAAUUUGAGCUCAGUCAGAGGGACCACUGGAGACACACAGGCUGGCCAUGUCUGUUGGGGCUGUGGCUCUGCCCUGCAGAAAGUGUCAUGACAAAAGGCAGGCCCAGGACCUGAGCCAACCUGUUGCUAAAUCAAGAUUCCUGAGAUCUCAGCUGGUUACCUUCUGUGAUACUAUAAGGUGUUUUUUUUUUUUUGUUUUGUUUUGGUUUGGGGCACUAGGGAUUGAACCCAGGAAUGUUUUACCAUUGAACUACAUUCCCAGUCCUUUUAAUUUUUUUAAUGUUUUUUUUUAAGGGCCUUGUGCAUGCAAAGCAAGCAUUCUACCAACUGAGCUAUAUCCCCAGCCCUUUUUUUUUUUUUUUUUUUUUGAGAAAGGGCCUUGCCAACUUGCUGAGGCUGACCUUGAACCUUUGAUCUUCCUGCCUCAGCCUCCCAAGUUGCUGGAAUUAAAGGUACAUGCUACUGUGUUGGCAACACUAUGAAAUACAUAUUUGGUCUUCCUCCAGUUUCCUGGCAUACAACUCCUAAAACCUUUGAAAUCUAAAAAGUAAUAAAUGUCUUUUUGCAUGCUAAUGAGCUGACUAAUGGCUAGCAGCCAAGAAGCUUCAGGAUGAGGGAUGGUCACAAGAUGAUAGAUCAAAGCCUGAUUAGAGGUUUGACACUUUCAGCCCCAUCCUCCAAACUUAGAGGAGGGAGAAGGGCUAAAAGUUGAGUUGAUCACCAAUGGCUAAUUAUUUAAUCAGUCAUGCUUAUGUAGUGAGAUCUCCACAAAAACCCAAAAGCAUAGAAUUGGGUGAGCUUCCAGAAUGCUGAACACAUGGAGGGUCCUAGAUGGUGGAGCAUCCAGACAGGGCAUGGCAGCUCUGCAUCCCAUCCUUCAUAUCUUACCCAGUGCAUCUCUUCAUCUGUAUCCUUUAUAAUAAACUAGUACAUGUAAUUAAAGUGUUCCCCCAAGCUCUGUGAGCCACUCUAGCAAAUUAGUCAAACAGGAGGAAGGGGUUAUGGGAACCCUAAUUCAUAACUGAUUAGUGGAAGCACAAUUAAACCAAACUCAGACUUGUGAUUGGCAUUGGAAGUGGGGGGAAGUCUUGUGCAGCUGAACCAUUAACAUAUAGGAUUCAACAAUAUUUCCAGGUAGAUGUGUAAGAAUUGAAUUGAACUACAGAACACACAGCUGCUAUCUGCUGCAGAAAGAUUGAUUGGUUCCUGGUGAGGAGAAAUCCCCAUUUGCAUCUUGGUAACCAGAGGUCACAGAAUUGUUCUGUUUAUUGUGUUGUGAGAGUAAAGUUGUGGGGGGGGAUCUAUGUUUCUUCUCAGACCUUGUGCCUAGUUGUAGCCGUGGCUGGCUUUUUGGCCCCUGUGUCCUAGCCUUUGGGGAUGGAGGCAACAAGCCAAGCCCACACUUGGCCAGGGUGUUAAGGAGUGCAGUGUCCCUGAGGCCAGGGAAAAGGUGACAAAAAAAAUAACUUGUGGCAGAUCUCCAAGAGGGAAGGUGACUUUUUUUUUCCUUUUCCCAGCUAGAGGGAUUGAACCCAGGGAUGCUCUACCACUAAGUUAUGUUCACAGGCCUUUUUAUUUAUUUAUUUAUUGAGACAAGGUCUCACUAAAGUGCCCAGGUUGGCCUCAAACUUGUGUCCUCCUGCUUCAGCCUCCUACAGGUGCAGGAAAGUGACUCUUCUUGGAGUCUUGCUGCUCCUUCCCACAGCAAAGGCCUCCCUUUCACAACCGCCCACUUCAGAGAAGGAUGACCAGCCUAGCCGGGGUUCCUCAAAGACAGCACAAAUGGGAGCAAAAGUGGAGGCAACUGCCUCACAUGCUCCUGAGUCUACUGCUGGGAUUAUUUAAGCAGACUCCAACCCCACUAGAGCCCACCUCGGUGCUGUGGGCAGGGGGAGUAGCAGCUCUAGAAAGUGGUAUACCUACAUACAUUUAAGGAUUAACCAACCAGGAGCUAAAACAGUGCUCACAAGUGUUAUAUAUUAACUCAUUUCAACCUUAGAAAUGUACAAGAAUGGGGGCUGGGGAUGUGGCUCAGCUCGCCUGGCAUGUGUGCGGCCCAGGUUCGAUCCUCAGCACCACAUACAAACAAAGAUGUUGUGUCCGCUGAAAAACUAAAAAAUAAAUAUUAAAAACUCUCUCUCUUUUAAAAAAAACAACUAUGAUUAUUAAAGAAAAAAAGAAAUGUACAAGAAGUAUUAUCUUCAGAAAGGUCAAAGAUAGUUAAUUUCCCCGGAUGGGAGAACAUGUUUUGCCGCCAAUGCCUGAUUUAUAAUAAGUGCUCAAUCCGUGCUGAAGGAAGAAAGUAAAGGAUGGACUUGUCCCAGUAGAUCACCUGGCAAUAAGGGGUGGUGCUGGAAGGGACCUUCAGCCCUCUAACUCAACAGUUUCUGUCCAGGCCCCAUUCCCUUCCAUUCUGGCUGCCCAUUGGAUGAAAGUGGCAGAACUGUUGGG
rnacentral:lncRNA from 1 species